UGCAAACAGAGACAUGCAACAGCAGUUUUUGGAUAUCUCUGGAUGAAAUAAUACCUUUGGACUAAAUUUUUUACUGGAUUUAGAUCGUCAGGAGCUUGGGGAGUGUGUUUCACCAAUCUGUGGAUUACAGUAACACUCCAUAGGAUCUGUGGAUGUGAGGUUUGGUGUGACGUACCUAUGAAGAAGGUGUCAGGGGCGCCGUCACCGGUCAGCAGCUCCACUGUGUCUGGGUCAAACCUGAGCCAGAGUCCCACAGCCAGCACCAGCAGGCCCGACAGCUGAGGAGCAAUCUGGACAUUUCCAGCGGACCAAGCAAUCACCGAGAUUCUCCCGACCAUCGCCCCAGCUGUAUCAAGCUUCUUAGUUCAAGCCUACCUGUGUUUUCUGCACCCUGCAGCACUCCAUUCAGGUCUUACAGAUCAACGACUUAUUAUUGACUGCAAAGAAAUUAACUGCUGGACGACCAGACUUGCUUGAUAUCGGCAAGAUCAUUUCCAUUGGUCAACAGGAGCUCUGUGAAGUGGGCGGAUUCAAAGGUCUGGAUCCAGGCAACGACCAAAUUGCUGUUUCUGUAAAACCUGAUACGAACCAAACACCUACUCCAGCUGUAUUCCAGGUUUUUCACCACUGAUGCUACUGGGGUAAAAAAAAAAGAAUUAAAAGACAGAAAUUUGUGAAUGCUCACCCUACAGGCAGAAUCAUUGUGACUUCACACUAACAACAACAAACACUUCUGGGUAGACAGCUGGCAGGUGAUAGCAGUUGUGGAGGUAUGUGAAAUCAGCUAUUUGUUUAUUUCUGUUGUCAUUUUCAGCUGUAACUAUAAUGUUUAAAGAUAUACAGAUAUACUGACCUGUCUGGCACUGUGUGUGUAUUUUAAUGUACUGUGUUUCUUUGUUAUUAAACCAAAUCUAUUGGCACAGAAGUUAAGCAACGUAAUGCUGUGGACGGGAGCCACAGCAAAAUGUAUUUUAACCACCCAAAAAGAUCUAUUUCAAUUUAAGUUUACGCUGUAUAUGGAAUACUUUCUUCACUUACUCUCUAACUGACUGAGGCAACGGUGGAGCAACUUUCAUGUUCUGUGAAGUAAAAUGAAUGUUUUUGUCAGAGGAGUCUGGUUGCUUUGAGAUAACGGCUUCAGUUCCCCAAUGGAAAAGGCUUUGUGAUGGUAAGAUUAAGCUGUGAAAAUAUUCUAAUGGUAAAAAGUGUACUAUAAUCUCAUAUUUCUUUUUUUUAGGUGGGCCCUUUUUAGGUGGCUAAAAAGUAACAAACUGAGGCAGCAUUUGCUCAUACAGGGGUUUUCUACCCACAAGUUAUUCUAAACAAGUAUUGGUCUAUAUGGGAGUUAAAGGUGAAGUUUGCAAUUCUGGAGAAAAAUGGCUGAUAUUUAUAUUUAUAUAACUCAGCACGCAAACACAUACACCCCUCCAGUCAGUCAGUACUCCUUCACAGGCUCCACUUCACCUUUCUCUCCCACCGUCUUCAUCUUUAUGCAUCCAUGGUCUUCCCCUGUCCUCUGCACAAGCACAGCAUGAUAGUGUUGUGUUUCUCAGUCAAAGCCACUUUUGUUUCUCUUUGUUUUUCCAGUGACAGAACCAGGGCUUUUUUUUUUCAG